rnacentral:rRNA from 1 species
UACGAAGGGGGCUAGCGUUGCUCGGAAUCACUGGGCGUAAAGGGUGCGUAGGCGGGUCUUUAAGUCAGAGGUGAAAUCCUGGAGCUCAACUCCAGAACUGCCUUUGAUACUGAGGAUCUUGAGUUCGGGAGAGGUGAGUGGAACUGCGAGUGUAGAGGUGAAAUUCGUAGAUAUUCGCAAGAACACCAGUGGCGAAGGCGGCUCACUGGCCCGAUACUGACGCUGAGGCACGAAAGCGUGGGGAGCGAACAGG